rnacentral:rRNA from 1 species
UGAACGCUAGCGACAGGCUUAACACAUGCAAGUCGAGGGGUAACAGGGGAAGCUUGCUUCCCGCUGACGACCGGCGCACGGGUGCGUAACGCGUAUACAAUCUACCUAUUACAGGGGGAUAGCCCAGAGAAAUUUGGAUUAAUACCCCAUAGUAUUAUAAGAUGGCAUCAUUUUAUAAUUAAAGUUUAGGCGGUAAUAGAUGAGUAUGCGUCCUAUUAGUUAGUUGGUAAGGUAACGGCUUACCAAGACAUCGAUAGGUAGGGGUCCUGAGAGGGAGAUCCCCCACACUGGUACUGAGACACGGACCAGACUCCUACGGGAGGCAGCAGUGAGGAAUAUUGGGCAAUGGACGAGAGUCUGACCCAGCCAUGUCGCGUGCAGGAAGACGGCUUUAUGAGUUGUAAACUGCUUUUAUAUAGGAAGAAACCCUUCGACGUGUUGGAGGCUGACGGUACUAUAUGAAUAAAGACCGGCUAACUCC